AUUGAACGCUGGCGGCAGGCCUAACACAUGCAAGUCGAACGAGUGGCGGACGGGUGAGUAAUGUCUGGGAAACUGCCUGAUGGAGGGGGAUAACUACUGGAAACGGUAGCUAAUACCGCAUACCAUCGGAUGUGCCCCGAUGGGAUUAGCUAGUAGGUGGGGUAACGGCUCUCCUAGGCGACGAUCCCUAGCUGGUCUGAGAGGAUGACCGGCAACACGGGAACUGUGACACGGUCCAGACGCCUAGGUGAGGCAGCAGUGGGGAAGAUUGCACAAUGGGCGCAAGGCUGAUGCAGCCAUGCCGCGUGUAUGAAUAAGGCCUUAGGGUUGUAAAGUACUUUCAGCGGGGAGGCGUUACCCGCAGAAGAAGCACCGGCUAACUCCGUGCCAGCAGCCGCGGUAAUAC
rnacentral:rRNA from 1 species